AUCAACAAAGACUAUCUAAAACAACAAAAGAUCUUAAGAAAUCAAGAUCCAACUAUGCUGACCUUGAAGCAACAAUUGGUAAGUUAAAGACAAGUCUACAAGUCAAUGCCAAUAAUCAAGAUAAAAAUAAAAGCCGCAUUCAGGAAUUAAGUGAAGAGAUUAUGAAACUAGUCAAAAGACAUCGAACUGAAGAAGAGG
rnacentral:sRNA from 1 species